rnacentral:rRNA from 1 species
CAGCCGCCGCGGGAAUACGGAGGGUGCAAGCGUUAAUCGGAAUUACUGGGCGUAAAGCGCACGCAGGCGGUCUGACAAGUCAGAUGUGAAAUCCCCGGGCUUAACCUGGGAACUGCAUUUGAAACUGUCAGGCUGGAGUCUUGUAGAGGGGGGUAGAAUUCCAGGUGUAGCGGUGAAAUGCGUAGAGAUCUGGAGGAAUACCGGUGGCGAAGGCGGCCCCCUGGACAAAGACUGACGCUCAGGUGCGAAAGCGUGGGGAGCAAACAGGAUUAGAGACCCCUGUAGUCUCUGUCUCUUAUAA